rnacentral:lncRNA from 1 species
CGGAGGAGGAGCAGAGUGACGAGGGAAGUCAGGAGGCCCCAGGCGUGGCUGGUGAGGCUGGGGUGGCCGCAGCCCCAGGGGAGCCCCAUCUGUGCUGCAGCAGGAGCGGGAGCUGGGGUCCAGUACUGGAGUAGAAGAGAGAGGGGACCGAGGGGCUGCAGGUACCACAGGCAGAUGGGGAAGGAGUCCCCUUGGGCCUGGGCACAAGGAGCCACAGCCAGCAGCGCCUUGGGCAGGGCGCAGAGCCUGCGCUUAUCACGGGGUAGGGGACACAGCAGGCAGCCCCCAGGGUUCUUCUCCAAGGGAGCCCCACCAAGACAGACGUCCCUCACAGCACCCAGCAGAGCUGCAGAACGUAGAAUACUACGCCCAGCUUCCCCAACUUUUGCCCAGUUCCUGCCUGCAAUAACCCUCUGGGAGCAGCUCUGCCCCUGGGGCAAUGGAGACAAGUGUCUGGGGAGCUCUGCAGGGCUGGCACCACCAUCCCAUUGCAGCUGGGUGCCCUACCCAGGGCCUUCAGCAAGCAUGAGGGGCAUGUCCCCAGCAGGGUCUUCUCCAGACCUCCAGGGAAAGCCACUAUCUGAGCUCGUUCAUCUCCACCCAUCUAAGGAGGAAUCAAACAGUGAGCACUGGCACAAUGUGGAGAGAUGGCAGAGCAGAGCUGAGUGGUACCAGAGGCUGCAGGGAAUGAGGCACAGCUGGGUGCCAAGCCUGGAGGUGCCACCUUUUGCCCAGGGUGCUGAAGGCAAAGAGCCAGCCCCGCUCCCUGCUAAAGUCAAGCAGGCGCAGGAGAGGGUUGGCCCAGUGGGGCACGGGUCUUCUUGUAGAGCUUAGGUGGAUAAGGAAAGUUUAUGUGCACUGGAAGCGAGGUCGGGCAACAUUGGAGGACUACAGAGAUGCUGUUUGCCUUUGCAGGCAGAAAAUUCAUAUGUCCAAAGCUCAGUUCGAGUUAAAGCUGGAGAGUACUCUGAGGGGCAUUAAAAAGUAGUUUUUAAAAAUAAGAGCAAAAGGAGGACCAGAGAAUAUAUUUGACUGUUACUUAAUGAGGAUUGUCACCUCACAAAUAGGGACGCAGAAAAAGCUGAGAAUUCUAAUGCCUUAUUUGCCUCUUUCAUCAAUGCCUUGGAAGGGCUGCAGGAGUAAGUGAAAAACACUGGAAGGCCAAUGCAGUCACUGGUCACAGCACACACGGGUUUGUGAGGGGAAAGUCCUGUUCAAUGAACUUAAUUUCCUUUCUAUGACAAGGUCAGCCUCCUCGUGGGCCAAGGGGUGAUAGUUGAUAUGUUCUUCUUGGAUUACAGUAACGCUUUCUAAAUCUUUUCUUACCGUAUCCAUCUGGACCAAAAGUCCAGCAUAGACCCAGAUAAAUGCUCCAUGGAAUUCACAAUAUGAUCGGUGAACAAUUGGCUGCUGUGUCAGGCUCCAAGGCUUCUGGUAAACGAGGCAACAUCAGGCUGGUGGCCAGUCACGAGUGGGGCUUUGCAGGGCUCCAUUUUGGGGCCAGGUCUCUUCAGUGGUCACAUAAAUGACCUGGAUGCAGGACUGGAAGCAAACCUGAGUGAGUUUGUGGCUGACACUGAACUGGGAGGAGCUGCUGACUCUGU